GACGAACGCUGGCGGCGUGCUUAACACAUGCAAGUCGAACGAUGAAGCCGGAGCUUGCUCCGGUGGAUUAGUGGCGAACGGGUGAGUAACACGUGAGCAAUCUGUCCUUGACUCUGGGAUAACUGCGGGAAACUGUAGCUAAUACCGUAUACGACACCUUGGCGCAUCCCAGGGUGUGGAAAGAAAUUCGGUCAAGGAUGAGCGCGCGGCAGAUAAGCUAGGUGGUGAGGUAAUGGAUCACCAAGGCGACGACGGGUAGCCGGCCUGAGAGGGUGACCGGCCACACUGGAACUGAGACACGGUACCGACUACUACGGGAGGCAGCAGUGGGGAAUAUUGCACAAUGGGCGAAAGCCUGAUGCAGCAACGCCGCGUGAGGGAUGAAGGCCUUCGGGUUGUAAACCUCUUUUAGCAGGGAAGAAGCGAAAGUGACGGUACCUGCAGAAAAAGCACCGGCUAACUACGUGCCAGCAGCCGCCGUAA
rnacentral:rRNA from 1 species